rnacentral:rRNA from 1 species
AUGGUUUAAAAAGACGAGAAGACCCUAUAGAGUUUAAUAAAUAAAUUAUUUGAUAUUAUUUAUAAUUAUAAAAUUGAAAUUAAUUUAUUUAUUUUGUUGGGGUGAUAAAAAAAUAUAAAAAACUUUUUUUUUUAGUUAACAUUUAUAAGUGAUUAAAUGAUCCAAUAUUAUUGAUUAUAAGAAUAAAUUACCUUAGGGAUAACAGCGUAAUUUUUUUUUUUAGUUCA